CCUACGGGUGGCUGCAGUGGGGAAUAUUGGACAAUGGGCGCAAGCCUGAUCCAGCCACGCCGCGUGAGUGAUGAAGGCCUUCGGGUCGUAAAGCUCUGUGGGGAGGGACGAACCGCUGUCGGUUAAUACCCGGCAGCAUGACGGUACCUCCUUAGCAAGCACCGGCUAACUUCGUGCCAGCAGCCGCGGUAAUACGAAGGGUGCAUACGUUGCCGUGAAUUGUUGGGCGUAGGGCGCACGUAGUGGGCUUGAAAGCCCUCGGCUUAACCAAGGAAGUGCAUCCAAAACUGCUGAGAUUGAGUAGUUAAGAGGAUCGCGGAAUUCCCGGUGUAGAGGUGAAAUUCGUAGAUAUCGGGAGGAACACCAGUGGCGAAGGCGGCGAUCUGGGAACAUACUGACGCUGAGGUGCGAAAGCGUGGGGAGCAAACAGGAUUAGAUACCCGGGUAGUC
rnacentral:rRNA from 1 species